GACGAACGCUGGCGGCGUGCCUAAUACAUGCAAGUAGGACGCACAGUUUAUACCGUAGCUUGCUACACCAUAGGCUGUGAGUUGCGAACGGGUGAGUAACGCGUAGGUAACCUACCUAUUAGAGGGGGAUAACUAUUGGAAACGAUAGCUAAUACCGCAUAACAGUAUGUAACACAUGUUAGAUGCUUGAAAGAUGCAAUUGCAUCGCUAGUAGAUGGACCUGCGUUGUAUUAGCUAGUAGGUAGGGUAAAGGCCUACCUAGGCAACGAUACAUAGCCGACCUGAGAGGGUGAUCGGCCACACUGGGACUGAGACACGGCCCAGACUCCUACGGGAGGCAGCAGUAGGGAAUCUUCGGCAAUGGGGGGAACCCUGACCGAGCAACGCCGCGUGAGUGAAGAAGGUUUUCGGAUCGUAAAGCUCUGUUGUUAAGGAAGAACGAGUGUGAGAAUGGAAAGUUCAUGCUGUGACGGUACUUAACCAGAAAGGGACGGCUAACUACGUGCCAGCAGCCGCGGUAAUACGUAGGUCCCGAGCGUUGUCCGGAUUUAUUGGGCGUAAAGCGAGCGCAGGCGGUUAGAAAAGUCUGAAGUGAAAGGCAGUGGCUCAACCAUUGUAGGCUUUGGAAACUGUUUAACUUGAGUGCAGAAGGGGAGAGUGGAAUUCCAUGUGUAGCGGUGAAAUGCGUAGAUAUAUGGAGGAACACCGGUGGCGAAAGCGGCUCUCUGGUCUGUAACUGACGCUGAGGCUCGAAAGCGUGGGGAGCGAACAGG
rnacentral:rRNA from 1 species